rnacentral:rRNA from 1 species
UGGGGAAUAUUGGACAAUGGGCGCAAGCCUGAUCCAGCAAUACCGCGUGGGUGAUGAAGGUCUUCGGAUUGUAAAGCCCUUUUAGUGGAGAAGAUAAUGACGGUAUCCACAGAAAAAGCACCGGCAAACUUCGUGCCAGCAGCCGCGGUAAUACGAAGGGUGCUAGCGUUGUUCGGAAUCACUGGGCGUAAAGCGUGCGUAGGCGGUUUAGUAAGUUGGUUGUGAAAUCCCCAAGCUUAACUUGGGAAUUGCAACCAAAACUGCUUGACUUGAGUUUGGUGGGGGAUAGUGGAAUUCCUAGUGUAGGGGUGAAAUCCGUAGAUAUUAGGAGGAACACCAGCGGCGAAAGCGACUAUCUACGCCAAUACUGACGCUAAGGUACGAAAGCGUGGGGAGCAAA